GUAGGGAAUAUUGGGCAAUGGAUGCAGGUCUGACCCAGCCAUCCCGCGUGCCGGAAGAAGGCCCUCAGGGUUGUAAACGGCUUUUGACGGUGAAGAAUCGACAGGAUGCGUCCUGUUUUGACGGUAGCCGUUGAAUAAGCACCGGCUAACUCCGUGCCAGCAGCCGCGGUAAUACGGAGGGUGCGAGCGUUGUCCGGAUUUAUUGGGUUUAAAGGGUGCGUAGGCUGGAAGGUCAGUCAGCGGUGAAAAGCUGUCGCUUAACGAUAGUCUUGCCGCAGAUACUUCCUUUCUUGGAUGAGGAGGAGGCCACUGGAACGGAUGGUGUAGCGGUGAAAUGCAUAGAUAUCAUCCAGAACACCGAUUGCGAAGGCAGGUGGCUGUACCUUAAUCGACGCUGAUGCACGAAAGCAUGGGGAGCAAACAGGAUUAGAAACCCGGGUAGUCC
rnacentral:rRNA from 1 species